GGCCUCCCUAUUCUUACCACAGGCUCUGUUCUUUACACUGACUGUAUAGAAAGAGGAGGUGCAGUAAAUGCACUCCAUAUACACUUGAACCCUUUGCCUGGUCUGUAUUGUGAAUUGGGGGACAAAA